GACGAACGCUGGCGGCGUGCUUAACACAUGCAAGUCGAACGGUGAAGCGCCUUCCUUUUUGGUGGGUGUGGAUGAGUGGCGAACGGGUGAGUAACACGUGAGUAACCUGCCCCCUUCUUCUGGAUAACCGCAUGAAAGUGUGGCUAAUACGGGAUAUUCUGGGUCUGUCGCAUGAUGGGUCUGGGAAAGAUAUUGUUUCGGUGGGGGAUGGGCUCGCGGCCUAUCAGCUUGUUGGUGGGGUGAUGGCCUACCAAGGCGGUGACGGGUAGCCGGCCUGAGAGGGUGGCCGGUCACACUGGGACUGAGACACGGCCCAGACUCCUACGGGAGGCAGCAGUGGGGAAUAGUGCACAAUGGGCGCAAGCCUGAUGCAGCGACGCCGCGGGAGGGAUGGAGGCCUUCGGGUUGUGAACCUCUUUCGCCAGUGAAGCAGGCCUGCCUCGUUUGUGGGUGGGUUGACGGUAGCUGGAUAAGAAGCGCCGGCUAACUACGUG
rnacentral:rRNA from 1 species